rnacentral:rRNA from 1 species
UUCGGGGGGACAGGGUGACAGGUGGUGCAUGGUUGUCGUCAGCUCGUGUCGUGAGAUGUUCGGGUUAAGUCCCGCAACGAGCGCAACCCUCGACCUUAGUUGCCAGCAUUCAGUUGGGCACUCUAAGGUGACUGCCGGCUAAAAGUCGGAGGAAGGUGGGGAUGACGUCAAAUCAUCAUGCCCCUUAUGACCUGGGCUACACACGCGCUACAAUGGGCGGUACAAAGGGUCGCGAACCCGCGAGGGGGAGCCAAUCCCAAAAAGCCGCUCUCAGUUCGGAUUGCAGGCUGCAACUCGCCUGCAUGAAGCCGGAAUCGCUAGUAAUCGCGGAUCAGCAUGCCGCGGUGAAUACGUUCCCGGGCCUU